rnacentral:tRNA from 1 species
GUAGCUUAAUGGUAAAGCACCCAACCAACAAAUGGGGGAUCUGGGUUCAAGUCCCAGC